rnacentral:rRNA from 1 species
UACAGAGGGUGCAAGCGUUGCUCGGAAUUAUUGGGCGUAAAGGGUAGGUAGGUGGUCUUAUUUGUCUGGGGUGAAAGCCUUGAGCUUAACUCAAGAAGUGCCCCAGAAACGGCAAGACUCGAGUCCUGGAGAGGGUCGUGGAAUUCCCGGUGUAGCGGUGAAAUGCGUAGAGAUCGGGAGGAACACCAGAGGCGAAGGCGGCGACCUGGACAGGCACUGACACUCAACUACGAAAGCGUGGGGAGCAAACAGG